rnacentral:tRNA from 4 species
GCGCCCAUAGCUCAAUGGAUAGAGUGUCAGCCUGCGGAGCUGAAGAUACAAGUUCGAUUCCUGUUGGGCGCACCA